GAGGGUAUAGCUCAGUGGUAGAGCGCAUGCUUAACAUGCACAAGGUCCUGGGUUCAAUCCCGAGUUCCUCG
rnacentral:tRNA from 1 species